GACGAACGCUGGCGGCGUGCUUAACACAUGCAAGUCGAACGAAGUGGCGAACGGUUGAGUAAUACGUGGUUAACCUGCCCUACUUUUUGGGUUAAGCCUGGGAAACGGUGUCUAAUACCUACUAAAGGGGGAUGGGCUCGUGGCCUAUCAGCUUGUUGUGGGGGUGAUGGGCUACCAAGGCGGUGACGGGUAGCGGGCCUGAGAGGGGGACCGGCCACAUAGGGACGGGGAUACGGCCCAGACUACGAAGGGGGGGAGAAGUGGGGGCUAUUGCACAAUGGGUGACAGCCUGAUGCAGCGACGCCGAGUGGGGGAUGAAGGCUUUCGGGUUGUGAUCCUCUGUCGCUAUCGAAAGGGUAGGUGGAGAAGAAGCGCCGGCUAACUACGUGCCGGCCGCCGCGGUAAUAC
rnacentral:rRNA from 1 species